rnacentral:rRNA from 1 species
GAUGAACGCUGGCGGCGUGCCUAAUACAUGCCAGUCGAGCGAACAGACGAGGAGCUUGCUCCUCUGACGUUAGCGGCGGACGGGUGAGUAACACGUGGAUAACCUACCUACAAGACUGGGAUAACUUCGGGAAACCGGAGCUAAUACCGGAUAAUAUAUUGAACCGCAUGGUUCAAUAGUGAAAGACGGUUUUGCUGUCACUUAUAGAUGGAUCCGCGCCGCAUUAGCUAGUUGGUAAGGUAACGGCUUACCAAGGCGACGAUGCGUAGCCGACCUGAGAGGGUGAUCGGCCACACUGGAACUGAGACACGGUCCAGACUCCUACGGGAGGCAGCAGUAGGGAAUCUUCCGCAAUGGGCGAAAGCCUGACGGAGCAACGCCGCGUGAGUGAUGAAGGUCUUCGGAUCGUAAAACUCUGUUAUUAGGGAAGAACAAAUGUGUAAGUAACUAUGCACGUCUUGACGGUACCUAAUCAGAAAGCCACGGCUAACUACGUG